AAUCCGGAGCACUCUGGACAGACUGCCUCAUUUGAAUGAGGAGGAAGGUGGGGAUGACGUCAAGUCAGUAUGGCCCUUACGCCCAGGGCUGCACACGUACUACAAUGCCUGAUAUAAUGGGAAGCAAGACCGCGAGGUGGAGCAAAUCCUCAAAAUCAGGCCCAGUUCAGAUUGUAGGCUGCAACUCGCCUACAUGAAGGAGGAAUCGCUAGUAACGGCGUAUCAGCUACGACGGCGUGAAUACGUUCCCAGGCCUUGUACACACCGCCCGUCACAUCAUGAAAGUCGAUUGUACCCGAAGUCGCUGAGUUAACCGCAAGGAGACAGGUGCCGAAGGUAUGGUUGGUAAUUGGGAUGAAGUCGUAACAAGGUAGCCGUAGGGGAACCUGUGGCUGGAUCACCUCCUUU
rnacentral:rRNA from 1 species